UAGAAAAGUAGGAAUUGAACC
rnacentral:tRNA from 1 species